GGCUCUCAGACAUGUGCGAAAACAGCUGGCCGCUCUGCCAACGACAUUUGAGCGUGAAGGCAGGAAAGGGGCACUGCUGCUGGGCGUGGAGCGAGCGCUCGAGACCGCGCCGGAGAUGUCGGUGUGUCAGCUGUUCACACUCGAGCGACACCUGAUGCUGCCUAUGGCGGCCUCUGUUUUAACCUUCUUGUUUUUCACGGCGCAAUUCGGCCUCUACGAAGACCCGAGCUCCGAGUCUGCGAACGCCACGUGCCCCCCCUAGGGGCCCCCUCCCCUCAACGCACCCCUCACCCGUGGGUCCUUGCUUCUGCUCUGACUAAUCCCCCUUAGGGCCCCUUGCCCCUCUACGCCUCCUCUGAACUCCUUUCCCCUGAGGGGCCUCCCCCGCUACGGCAUAGCAGACACCUUCGCCUCCCUCAUGAGCCCCAGCCUUUUCUGCGAGAGUCAGCAGAAAAGAUGGGCGCGGCGGUCCCGAACCAACGAGUCCCGAACCAACGAGUCCCGAACCAACGAGUCCCGAAGCAACACGCGUGAUUCAGGGCCCCCGGGGAUCAUGAAUUCCUCCGGGGAAGAAGUUACUGUAGGGCGCCUAAAUUACCCUUGAAAAGGGUAUAGCCUAUCUAGUGUGUUAAAGGGUAUAGGCUUAUAUUCUCUCUAUAUAAAACAUGCUAAAGACUAUGUGUAUGUAUACAUACCCACAUGUAAAAAAGGAAAGAUGUCAUCUAUUUAUUAAUCAAUUAAUAUAUAUAUGUAUAUAUAUAUAUUUAUAUAUAUACAUAUGUAUAUACAUAUGCAUAUACACAUAUAUAUACACACACACACAUGUAUAUACAUAUGCAUAUACAUAUAUAUACAUACAUAUAUACAUAUACAUAUGUAUAUAUGUUUAUAUGUAUGUAUAUUUAUACAUACAUAUAUAUAUAUAUAUAUAUAUAUAUAUAUAUAUAUAUAUAUAUAUAUAUAUACAUAUAUAUGUCAUCAACACACAAACAGACCGGCAGACAGAAGCAUAGCUCCCCCACCCCCUACACACUCACACGCUCAUACAAAAUGUACGUUAUACAUCUAUUUGAUAUUAUUUAAGGUGUUCAUGUGUAAUAUCUCUACAGAAUAAAAAAAGUGCUUCGUACACCAUUUA